rnacentral:lncRNA from 1 species
CUGCCCUCCAAGCUUUUGUGAUGUACUAACAUUAUUAUUAAUGGCAAGCUCCUCUUCAUAAUGCGGCAAAUUUCUAACUCUGCUCAAGGUAUGGCUGCUUGAUUUAGUCCAAUCAAGAGUAGCAGCUUCCUUGUUAAGCUGUCCAGAGCAAACGUUAACUCAAAACAUAUUCGCCAAAUAUAUUCUAAGAAGAGGUGUCUCAGAGAAGAUGUACAUGUUCAGUCACAUCCUAUGUUGCUAUAACUCGGGCGCAGGUGUCUGAUACAUAUCUAGGAUUCAAAUCCUUUUUCUAAAACCUAGGAUAGUAGGAUAUGAGAACAUGGCUGAAAAGGAUCCAAUAUUUAGCCCUUGCAUGAUGGAGCUUUUUCGAAAAAUCACUUAUAUUUGGUUUGUGUAUGGGUCCGAACUUCUAUGACAGCUUGAUGCAUGUAAUUGACAAAUGUCACUGAAAUACCCAAAAAAUGUCCUGUUUUUGAGUCUUUUGGGGAAACCGUGAUGAUGACAAAUCCGUCUUCUAAUAAUUUAAAUCAAGGCUACCAAUGAGCCGUGUCACAGAGCGCUUCAGGGGUGGGUCAAUUGGCUGAAUUUUAAUUGACAAUUUGAAUGGUCAAACUAGCAAAUAAUCUGUUAUUUUAGCAAUUCAUACGGACUUUAACAAUGUGUAGAUACAUCUUACAAUUUCUAACUCUGCUCAAGGUAUGGCUGCUUGAUUUAGUCCAAUCAAGAGUAGCAGCUUCCUUGUUAAGCUGUCCAGAGCAAACGUUAACUCAAAACAUAUUCGCCAAAUAUAUUCUAAGAAGAGGUGUCUCAGAGAAGAUGUACAUGUUCAGUCACAUCCUAUGUUGCUAUAACUCGGGCGCAGGUGUCUGAUACAUAUCUAGGAUUCAAAUCCUUUUUCUAAAACCUAGGAUAGUAGGAUAUGAGAACAUGGCUGAAAAGGAUCCAAUAUUUAGCCCUUGCAUGAUGGAGCUUUUUCGAAAAAUCACUUAUAUUUGGUUUGUGUAUGGGUCCGAACUUCUAUGACAGCUUGAUGCAUGUAAUUGACAAAUGUCACUGAAAUACCCAAAAAAUGUCCUGUUUUUGAGUCUUUUGGGGAAACCGUGAUGAUGACAAAUCCGUCUUCUAAUAAUUUAAAUCAAGGCUACCAAUGAGCCGUGUCACAGAGCGCUUCAGGGGUGGGUCAAUUGGCUGAAUUUUAAUUGACAAUUUGAAUGGUCAAACUAGCAAAUAAUCUGUUAUUUUAGCAAUU